AUUGAACGCUGGCGGCAUGCUUUACACAUGCAAGUCGAACGGUAACAGGCCGCAAGGUGCUGACGAGUGGCGAACGGGUGAGUAAUGCAUCGGAACGUGCCCAGUCGUGGGGGAUAACGCAGCGAAAGCUGCGCUAAUACCGCAUACGAUCUAUGGAUGAAAGCGGGGGACCGUAAGGCCUCGCGCGAUUGGAGCGGCCGAUGUCAGAUUAGGUAGUUGGUGGGGUAAAGGCUCACCAAGCCAACGAUCUGUAGCUGGUCUGAGAGGACGACCAGCCACACUGGGACUGGGACACGGCCCAGACUCCUACGGGAGGCAGCAGUGGGGAAUGUUGGACAAUGGGCGCAAGCCUGAUCCAGCAAUGCCGCGUGCAGGAAGAAGGCCUUCGGGUUGUAAACUGCUUUUGUACGGAACGAAACGGCUCUGGUUAAUACCUGGGGCUAAUGACGGUACCGUAAGAAUAAGCACCGGCUAACUACGUGCCAGCCGCCGCGGUAACAC
rnacentral:rRNA from 1 species